rnacentral:lncRNA from 1 species
CCUUCUCUCACGCCAAUCACCACAGCCGGCGUUCCCUAGUUCCCCACUCGAGUUGUUGCUUCGCCGGAAUUGAUAACUGGCGAGUAACAACACCACUAGCAGCAGCGAAUCUGUAGAAUAAUGUUGCCAUUUGUGUUCAUGCGUAAAAAUAGUUCGACAUCCGUCUGGGUCUGACUAGCGGCCUCCAUUAACGUCGAUGAAGUUGCGUUUUGUUCCUCAUCGUUGAAAUCACACUCCGUCUGUUGGUUCCGUCGAGGUUCGAGUGUCGUCCGACGAGAUUCCGCUUCAUCGAGGUCCUGAAUUGUUGUCUCGUUUGCUCUUGGAUUCACAUACUGGAAAGGUCAACAAUUUGUUCAAGGUUAUCUUCUUCCUAUGUUCAUUUCGUUACUCCUACGUGAUUUAGUACUUCAUUUGUGAUAUAAGUUUAACAUGAAUUUUAAAUUUAUGUUUUGGUUAGUUCUUUGCAUAUGUAGUUUGAAUUAAUUUUCCCUUUUUGUCAUUGUUGCUAAAAUACAAUCAGAGUUCUAAUGAAAAGAAGUUAGACCAUGACGAUGAGUUGAAAUACACUGUGAGAGAUUGAAAUGCUGAAUCGAAGCAAUAUAGACUAUUUUUGGAUAAAUUGUGUUAAUUUAUGUUCUGGUUCAAAUCGUGACUGAUCAAGGGCAAGGAGUAUUCAUGUUUCCAUUGCACAAGUGUGAUUGCGAGAAAAAGGAG